rnacentral:lncRNA from 1 species
GGGCCAGACACCUUUCGCCCUCGCAUUCGGAAUCGAGGCAGUAGCGUCGGCCGGGCUGGUAUGGCCGACCGCUCGAAUCGAACAGUUCCAGCCAGGAGCGAACGACCAAGCGCUAUUCCUAGAAAAGGAGCACCUGGAACAUCGGAGAGAGGAGGCGUCCAUCAGGGACCUCACUUACAAGCGAAGGAUGGCGAGGUACCACAAC